GACGAACGCUGGCGGCGUGCUUAACACAUGCAAGUCGAACGGUGAAGCGCCUUCCUUUUUGGUGGGUGUGGAUGAGUGGCGAACGGGUGAGUAACACGUAAGUAACCUGCCCCCUUCUUCUGGAUAACCGCAUGAAAGUGUGGCUAAUACGGGAUAUUCUGGGUCUGUCGCAUGAUGGGUCUGGGAAAGAUAUUGUUUCGGUGGGGGAUGGGCUCGCGGCCUAUCAGCUUGUUGGUGGGGUGAUGGCCUACCAAGGCGGUGACGGGUAGCUGGCCUGAGAGGGUGGACGGUCACACGGGGACUGAGACACGGCCCAGACUCAUACGGGAGGCAGCAGUGGGGAAUAUUGCACAAUGGGCGCAAGCCUGAUGCAGCGACGCCGCGUGAGGGAUGGAGGCCUUCGGGUUGUGAACCUCUUUCGCCAGUGAAGCAGGCCUGCCUCGUUUGUGGGUGGGUUGACGGUAGCUGGAUAAGAAGCGCCGGCUAACUACGUG
rnacentral:rRNA from 1 species